rnacentral:lncRNA from 1 species
UUUAUUUUUUAAACCAUUUUUCUAGUUUUUUUUAAAAUCUUUUUAUUCUUUGUUUCAAGGUAAUCAGAACUUCACUGCUGUAUAUAAAUCACAUUUUUGUUUACUUUCUAACAAACAACCAGACAACCAACCAACCAACCAAUUCCAUAUUACCAUUAAAUGGCACUGCACUUGAGUUCCAUGCAACAACAUACCACUGAAAACCCUCUGUGAUAUUAAGUCCCUCAUCUCUUAACAUAUUAGUGGCUAUACCAGCAACUAUACUACUAGUGGCUAUAUGAACUACUAUUUGUAGCUAUAUUGACUGCCACUAGUGGCUAUACCAACUAUUAUACUACUGGUGGCUAUAUUAACUAUUAUAUUACUAUAUUAACUACCGUGCCACAAGUAGCCAUAUUAGCUAUUAUACUACUAUACUAACUACUUUACCACUAGUAACUAUACUAACUACUUUCUUCUGAAAUAUCUGCAUAAGAUUCCAAAGAAAUUUUGCUCCCUUGAAAUUUCAAAUUUUUUAUCUUUUUUUCUAAUGGAAUAAAAGCUGGCCAUAUGUAUUAGGCUGAAGAGGAAUGGUUUAACAUAUUGUCAUUUUCUGACAUCAUUAUUUAUUUUUCUUUCUCUCUAUAUCUAUCGUUCUCUUCCUAUUAUCAAUAGUUCAAUCAAUAUUAUUACUAGGUGAGGGAGGGAUGGAAUUAUGGCCUACUGAAUAAGCUUCCUUAUGUGUGGUCUGCUUUGGGUCUUUAAGCUAGUGAUGUAUUUAUUUCUACUUACCUUGAUUUAAAAAAGUCUCUUCACAUCUUGUUAAGUGGUUUACUGUGACUAAUAUUUCAACCUCUGUUAUGUGUAUCUUCUCUUAUCGUUUAUGACCUGACCCACGACCAUAUUGUCUGUGAGACAGUCAUCUUAUACAUAUAUGGUUCUAAACAUGGAGGGAAUAAACAAUAUAAUCAGCUCACACUUUUGUAGACUCUUGCUGUAAACACUCUCUAUCUUUAUAACAUUCUCCCCUCCUUUCCUUCCAACUCCUUUCUCUAUUAAUCUUAAAGGUACAGUGAAUGAGAUCAGAUCUAGUAUUUGACUGGUAUUUAAAGGAACCCAAAAAAAACUGACCUCAACAGAUUUGAACUCAGAAUGUAGUUUGUUGUAACUGUCAACCAUAAGGUAACAUUAGCUAGUUAUAGGCUUUUAUAAUACUCUGUUACUUUAAUAGUUUCAUGUUAAAGAACCUAAAUAUGGAAAGGGAAAAUGAACAAUCAUCAGACACAGGUGAAUACUAGGGUAUUACAAGGCUAAAUUUAUAAAUACUGUAUAAAUAUGUGCUCUCUAUAAUUUAAUGUGUGAGUGCCUGUUUUUUUUUCUUACAUAUGUAAGCUCAGACAACUAUAUAUAUGUGUGUGUGCAUGUAGAGAGAGGGAGGAGGUAGUAAACUCUUGUUAGGGCUUAUCUAAAGCACAGUUCCAAUUCUUAGUUAUAACUGCUUCCCAUCCAUUAGUUAUCAGUAAUCUCAUUGAGAAAUUCAAGAAAAUUUCAGUCUUAAUUUCUCAUUCAUGUAGUGAUGACUGUGAACAGCCAAAUUAUAAUACUUAUACUACUAAACUUGAAAAUCAGGUAAGGGUUACUGACAGGAAGGGCAUCUGGCUUUAAAACAAUUUCAUCUAAUCCAGAUGUAAAACAAAUGAACGGUGUUUUAUUUGCUGUUUUCAUUGGUUUGUGUAUGUGAAUUCGUUUCAUUCUCAUAUCUUUUUAAGAUUAAUUCCUCCAGAAGAUAUGUACACAUAAACAUAUACACACAUACAUGUAUAUGUGUGUGUGUGUGUGUGUGUACAUGUGUAUAUAUUUACAUGUAUAUGUGUGAUGUAUGUAUAUUUACUGUGCUUGAUUUAAGCAAUCGUAUUAUUUGAUCCCUUAUAAAACUGGGUACUGUUCUUUAUUAUAAACUAGGAAAAGGUGGAAGAUUAUAUAUUGGAAAAUGUAAAGCUGCAGUAGAUAACUUUAAAUUAUCUAGUUGAAUGGCACAACCAUGGUCAUAUGUUUAAGAAGUUCCUUUUGUUAUAUGUUCCCAAUUCACUUCUGUUGCAUGGUACCUUGGUCAAGUGUCUUCUACCUUGGCCUUAAGUCUACCAAAGCUAUAUCAGUGAAACUAGAUGUAAAAAAAAAACCUUGUAGAUGCUCACUGCAGGACUGUACCUGUUGUUGAGUGGUGGGCUUAAUCUAUUGCCUGAUUUUAACCCUAACACCUUGCUUUUGGGUUUCUUUACAGAUCAGAUCUCUCCCAUUUCUGCCUCUGUUCCUCAUCCCUACCCAGAGCCCUAUAAAAGUCAAAGUUGCUAUUCCUAUUAAUUUGAUGAAACCAUUAAUAAUAAAAUAAUUUAUUUAUUGCUUCACAUUUCUGAGUUUGAAUCCUGUUGGUCAUACAAGGUGGGUACCAGCAAUGUACUGGAAUAAUAUCAAGAUAUUCUGUUUAUUUGUUUGAAGAAAGAAGUCAUUAUUUAAAGAACAGUAAAGUUAACACUUUUUUUUUUCUUUCUCUUUUCUUUAAUUGUAUUAAAAUUAUCUUCUGGGUUUCAAAUUUCAUUCUCAGACUUCUCUGAGGUGUACAGAAGAACAAAUAACGGUCUCUAGAGAGAAAGAGUGGGUUCAAUAGAUUCUCUGACAACUCUUUUGUUCCAUUUAGUUUGGUAUAAAUAUUGUCAUUUCAUGUCAGAAAGUGUCAAACAUAUUUCUUUGUUUUGUUUUUUCAAUAUUUUUUUUCUUUUGAGAAAUGGUUCAGUGACACAACGUUGUUUAUCAUCAUCAUCACCAUCAGCAUCAUCAUUAUUAUUUCUAAUCUGCCUUUUGUUUUGAAAUGGUUCAGUUUAAUAGUUUUAAGUUCAUUUUAUAUUUUGAUUUUUUUUUCUCACACUUCCUUGCAAGUCUUAGAGAAUUAUGUUAGUGCCAUACAUUUCAGCAGACAUGGUUGUUUUCAACUAUAUUCUCUGGGUAUGGUCAAAGAACUCAUACAGACAUACAUAGACACACACACACACACACACACACACACCUCUUUGUAUUCUUAUUGUGCUUUUUCCUAGCAAAUGUCUGUAGAAUUAUUAAGUUUAAAGUGGUCAAGAUAGUUUAGUGUCAGAAUGAUCAAAAAGGCUACUAGUAUGAAUCAGUUCAGCUCGUGGUGAAAUAGGUUCAACCAUGAAGAGGUUCAACUGACAAUUGUGGGUAGCAGGAAUCUAGGAAUGCUAAGCUGCUUUAAUGCUAAGAUCUAGUGAGAUCUUCAUGUGUUAUUGUCAACUGUUGUAACCAACAGGAACAUUGUAGUGGGAACUCAGCACUGCAAGCUAGCUCUCACUCUCUUGUCUAAGAAAAUCUACUUAUAGCUUAUCCAGGAGUAAAUAUAUCUUCAUUGACUAAUCCCUACAGAAACUAGGAGUCUAAGUCUGACCUGUUUGGACUUUUUAGUGUGGAAAGAUUUAGCUUCUAAUUAGCUUGUAUUGUGACACUGAUCAUAAAUCUUCUUAUGCAUCCAGAGAAGGCAACAAAUAGCUAUAUUCCUAACAAUUAAGAUAUUCUUCAUUACCCACUGGCUCAUGAGAUCUCAAUCAAUUGUCAGAUUAAUCAAUAUUUCUCACAAUAUACUAAAUAUUUAUUUAUUCAAACAAAUGUUCAUGACCACAAAAUAAACAUUCCUCAUAGUGUGAGGAAUGCCUGUUCUUGAAGCAACAUGGAAACAAAGGCAUUUUAGGUUGAACACUAGCAACAACAUGGUCAUGUGUUUUACUAUUUCAACCACUUGAGUAAAGCACAUAACAUCCUGCUUGCUACAGAUUCCACUCUUUUGUCAUGGUUGAUGUAGGAAAAAUGUUUGGAGAUAUACACAUACAGAGUACAGCAAAAAGAAAACUUCCCAAUUUCACCAUGUAAAGUAUGUGGGGUUUUUGUGCCAUACUCUUUAUAUCAAUGACUCUUAUCAUAUUUACAAAAUUUCAGGCUCACCUAAUGUAUAAGAUGAUGAUGAUGUAUGUUAAGUAGUUAAUGGAUCGUAAACAUUUAAACAUCAUAAAAAUUUACCAAAUGUUAACCCUUUAAGUAUGAAGGACCUCUACAAGCAAUUCCAAUUGUCAUACCAUUUUUUAAAAUGCAUGAAAAUUCAAUUUUAAAUUUAUUUUGCUGCCUGAAUAAUGUUGAUAAUCAGUGUACUUAAUGAGUUAAAAAAAAUUAUAUUCUGAUUUUUAAGCCAGCAAUAAUUAUUUCAUAUAAUUUAGAUAUGUUUUUUUUUUUUUUUUUUUUUUUUAUUAUUAUUAUUCCAAAACCAAUCUUGCUUUCUUAAUCCUGAAUUUGUCACAAUGCUAACCCAAUCCAGGUUAUCCAAUCUACCCUCACCAUGAGAUUUGUCAUGGUCAUAGAAAUUUAGUUGACAUAUUUUAAGACGUGUGUUUAUUUGAUACCAUAACUAGAACUUGAACCCACUUCUUAAGCAUUCAUUGAGAUAAUCUGACAUUGAUAUAACUGCCAUCUGACACUCCAGCAACAGAGCCUUUACCAUGGUUGCUUGCCCUAUUAGAAAUAACAGCCAAAUUGUAGGUUAUAUUGAUAUAAUGCAAUUGCAGGUGGCAGUUACCCAUGUAUAAAACCUCAUUUUGAUAUCCUAUAUCACACAUAUUAUAUUAAGUCACUUAAUAAACUCUUCAGGCAAGGAUGUCAUACAUUCUUUUAUUUUUCUAAGGAAAAUAAACCCAGUAUCUCUAUAUUAUGUAUUGGUUGAACUGCCACCAAUGGGUUUUCUUUAUAUAUAAAACAGGAUAUUCAAGGGAGAACUUAUAAAUAUCUUUGCGUUAUAUCAUUAUUAUCACAUUUAUACUAGGAUGAAAUCUGUUAUACAAGAUGCAGCAAAAGAAAAAAGAAAAAAACUCCCAGAUUUACCAUUAUUGAUGUCUAAAAUUCAGGAGUUUUUUUGGGUUUUUUUUUGGCACAAUGUAACAUCUCCACCACCACCACCACAUUUCAGGGAUUUUUUUUUCCCAGCUAGAUAUGUACAGAAUUUAUAUUUUGUAACAUAUUCUCCUCCCCAUUUCCAGUAACUCUCAACAAUACAACAAAUUAAACAAAACAUUUGAAAAGAAAGAAAAAACAGUAACCACGAUUAUAAUUUUUUUUUCACCAUCCCUAUCUACACACACACACACACAAAAGACCACCAAUAGCAAGAGAAGCUGUAGAGAAUUGUCCACACAUUAAGUAGACAUGUGAUAGGUGCCUACUCUCUUUUUUAAAAAAUUUUUUUAUUAAAAAUUUUUUGUCAUUUUGUUACAGGAAAAAAAUAAGCAAUAAAAAGCUCUGUGUAAGGAUCAUACAUUGUGUGUGCGUAUGUGGGGGACCAGGAAUAUAGGGGUUAUCACUUGGUCCCCAUCCCAUGUGUCAUUGCUCUGGUGUGUGUGUAUGUAUGGGUGUCCAUCAUUGCUUGUGUAUGUAUGGAUGUAUGUACGAGUCCAUUAAUACUUGUGAUGUCAUUCUGUAUACUUGUUCUUCAUUUUAACUGCUGUAAAUACAAUGAAUGGUAGACUAACAUGUUACUUUUUUUUUUUUUUUUUGCAUUCAAUGAAAACUUUCUAAUUUAAAUGUUAAAAGAAACCGAGUGAUGUCCUUUUUGGCUUGCUUUUUGGAUUUGAUUCUCCUUAAAAAGUUUGUCAUUGGACUAAAUGUAUUAAAAGAAAAAAGAAAAAGGAUAUAGAACACAAAUCAUUGUAGAAUUCAAUGAAAAAAAUGGAAAAAAAUGUGUUUUUUUUUUUUUUUUUUUUUUAGAUAUUAAAAAGAGGAAAUGAAAAAUCAGACAAAA